UUAUUAAUAUAUUGUAUUCUGUCUGAAAGGAGCUGAUUUCCAUAUAUCACCCAUGUAAAUCCUGCCACGUGGGGGCAUUUCCUUCUGCUCUGUGAUGGUAUAAAUGGCCCAUUCUGCAGUCAGUGGUUCAGUGAUCUGUAUCAGCCCAGUGAGCAGGGAUCAGGAUGAUUUCACACAGCUGUUUGCUGACUAUAUUCAUCAUCUGGAUUCAUGGAUCCUAUGGACAGAUUGUGAUGACUCAAACUCCAAAGUCAGUUACUGUGUCACCAGGAGAAACUGUCACCAUGACAUGUACAUCUAGUACUGAUAUAGACAGCUGGCUAGCCUGGUACCAACAGAAACCAGGACAACCUCCAAAGCUUCUUAUCUAUUAUGUAAGCAACAGACAGCCUGGGAUCCCAGCCCGGUUCAGUGGCAGUGGGUCUGGAACCAGUUACACUUUAACAAUCAGUGCAGUGUUAGCAGAAGAUGCAGCAGAUUAUUACUGUCAGCAGGGUUACAGCUUCCCUCUCACAGUGAUACAGAGCCGUACAAAAACCUUCCUCUUUCACUGAGCU